UGGGGAAUAUGGGUCAAUGGGCGCAAGCCUGACCCAGCAACGCCGCGUGAAGGAAGAAGGCUUUGGAUUGUAAACUCCUUUUGUUAGAGAAGAUAAUGACGGUAUCUAACGAAUAAGCACCGGCUAACUCCGUGCC
rnacentral:rRNA from 1 species